rnacentral:rRNA from 1 species
AACGAACGCUGGCGGCAUGCCUAACACAUGCAAGUCGAACGAGACCUUCGGGUCUAGUGGCGCGCGGGUGCGUAACACGUGGGAAUUUGCCUCGGGGUAUGGAAUAACUCAGGGAAACUUGAGCUAAUACCAUAUAAUGUCUUCGGACCAAAAGAUUUAUCGCCCUGAGAUAAGCCCGCGUAGGAUUAGCUAGUUGGUGGGGUAAAGGCUCACCAAGGCGACGAUCCUUAGCUGGUCUGAGAGGAUGAUCAGCCACACUGGGACUGAGACACGGCCCAGACUCCUACGGGAGGCAGCAGUGGGGAAUAUUGGACAAUGGGCGAAAGCCUGAUCCAGCAAUGCCGCGUGAGUGAUGAAGGCCUUCGGUU